UCUUUCUCUCCCUCUCUCUAGGGUUUUGUUUUUCAUCGAUGCACGAAAAAUUCCCCAAUUGGUCGUAUCUAUUCGAUCGAAAUGGAAAAUGGUGGCGGAGAUUUGGAGGCGAAAAUUGAGAUGUUGCUGAAUGUGGAGAAGCAGAUGAGGCAAGUGGGUGAUGUUGCAGGUACGAGGAAGGCCGUCACACCUCUUGCAAUUCUUCUUCUCACACCUCAAACAAUACCCCUCAUUUUCUCCCUCCAAGAAAGCCAAAGCCGGCGAAGGAGAGACGCCGCAGUUCCGUCCUCCCACCGCCAAAAUACCCUCACCCAACCCCACCAUCAAACCAUUUCCCUUGUCCUCUGUUCACUUCUUCGAGGAAAAAAGUUAAAGAAAGCAGGUGAAGUUCAUGGUGGUAUGGCCGAGUCAAAGGUUCGAAUGUGAUGGUACGGCAGCACCUGCGGGAGAAGCAGCUGCGAAUGUGGGUACAAAUCCAAGAAAGGAAAACCCCGCUGAAUAGACUAAAGAAAACCAAGAAAAGCAGGGGGGAGAGACAGAGCGAGGAGGAGGCCUCAAAUUAUGGUUUGGGAUUACACUGGUUUUGGAUAUACAAGGUACAAUGCCAGAGACAUUAACAAAGAAAUACUAGGGUGUCAUUGCUAAGAGGAUAUAAAUCAGACAGGAGACCUGCAAACUCGACAAUGAUGGCAAUUCUGGAUGGCUUUCAGAAGGCAUAUUCCGUUGAUUUCAGACCACUCAAUGCACUGCGCCCUGCUGCCUUCCAAGGGGCUCAUUAUAUUUCACCAUUGAAAAGGCAAAUAAUCUCGUAUGCAUCUGGUAACCAAGCUUGUACACUCGUUUAAGGAAGGUUCGGAGGAAUGGUCCAAGAAGGCGGUAGAGCUUGAGGAUUCAUGAAGACUUUAGACGUAAGUUCUAUUUGUAAUUUAUUUAUCCAACAAUGGCGAAUGAUGCACAGUACACUAAUUCCUCUUGUGAACAUGCAGUUUGGUUGUGGAAUUUCAAAAUUAUCUGUUUGUCUUAUGUCUUCAUGCAUGCUGGACGCGAAUGGAAGGUGUAUGAGGUGGCAAAGACGGUCUUUGGAAACAAUGACACAGAAACUAGAAAGUCUUUGCAAAGUGAUAAUGGUGUUACAUUUGCUACACUUGGUGAGAACACCAGAUGAUGUCCCUGGAUGUGCUUCUUAGUGCUGGUGUUCCGUGGUGCAGCUCGAGAAUUUGUUGUCACUUCCCAAGAGCUUAUCACUCGGGGUUUAGUCCUGGAUAUUAUUGUGGAGAUGCUGCUGAUAUGGCUAAUAUUGAAUCGUCGAGUGUUGCAAGAGAAGCUGCAAUACAUAGUGCAGCUAUUAGGUGUCCUCCAAUGGUGUCUCGCUUCCAGUUAUCAUAUGAUCUUGCAGUCUCGUUAUGUUCUAGGCAAUGCUUUCUGGUGAACCAACUAUUGUUGAUGCUGUUGCUGCUUGGCUGAAAGCUAUAGUUACUAGGAACCCAAAAGCAAUGAUCCGACUAUACAGUACAGGCACAUUUUCUUUUGCUCUGGCUUACCCUGGAUCUAAUCUUCUUCCAAUUGCCCAACUCUUCUCAAUGACUCAUGUUUAUCAAGCUUUUCAUGGUGGUGAGGAAGCUGCAGUUUCCUCUUCUCUACCUUUGGCGAAAUGAAGUGUUUUGGGCGGCCUCUUACCUGAGUCAUUGCUUUAUGUACUGGAACGUAGCGGCCCAGUUGCUUUUGCCGCAGCAAUGGUUUCUGAUUCUCACACUCCUGAGAUUAUUUGGACACACAAGAUGCGAGCAGAAAAUCUGAUCCGUCAGUAAUGUGGAGAGAAGAGUUAACUCGAAGGCCAAUGGACCUUUCUGAAGAAGAAGCUUGCAAGAUACUAGAGAUUUCCAUUGAUGAAGUAUCCAGAGACGACGCCCCUAAGAAACCAAGUUUUGAGUCAGUUGAGGAGAUACCUGAUAUAUCAAAGCAGAUUGAGUAUAUUGAUGAGGAAAAGCUCAAGAGACAGUAUAGGAAACUUGCAAUGAAGUAUCAUUCAGACAAAAAUCCUAAAGGGAGGGAGAAGUUUCUGGCAGUGCAGAAUGCUUAUGAGUGCUUGCAGGUAUGCCAAAUUCCUUGAUCCUGUGUGAGGAUCUGUCGUUACUCAUAAAAAACGGAGACUAUAUGAUUAAGCUUGAGCAAAAGAAAGAA